AGGGCACCACCAGGAGUGGAGCCUGCGGCUUAAUUUGACUCAACACGGGAAACCUCACCCGGCCCGGACACGGACAGGAUUGACAGAUCGAUAGCUCUUUCUCGAUUCCGUGGGUGGUGGUGCAUGGCCGUUCUUAGUUGGUGGAGCGAUUUGUCUGGUUAAUUCCGAUAACGAACGAGACUCUGGCAUGCUAACUAGUUACGCGACCCCCCGAGCGGUCGGCGUCCCCCAACUUCUUAGAGGGACAAGUGGCGUUCAGCCACCCGAGAUUGAGCAAUAACAGGUCUGUGAUGCCCUUAGAUGUCCGGGGCUGCACGCGCGCUACACUGACUGGCUCAGCGUGAGCCUACCCUACGCCGGCAGGCGGGGGUAACCCGUUGAACCCCAUUCGUGAUGGGAAUGGGGGAUUGCAAUUAUUCCCCAUAUACAAAAGAAUUCCCAAUAACUUGCGAGUCAAAAAUAAUUGUUUGAUGAUUUCCCUAGACUCUCUACACACCACUGGUCUCAUAAGUUUAGUCG
rnacentral:rRNA from 1 species